AGCGAACGCUGGCGGCAGGCCUAACACAUGCAAGUCGAGCGGGCACCGCAAGGUGUCAGCGGCAGACGGGAGAGUAACACGUGGGAACGUGCCCUUUGGUUCGGGACAACUCCGGGAAACUGGAGCUAAUACCGGAUAAGCCCUUACGGGGAAAGAUUUAUCGCCAAAGGAGCGGCCCGCGUCGGAUUAGCUAGUUGGUGAGGUAAUGGCUCACCAAGGCGACGAUCCGUAGCUGGUCUAAGAGGAUGAUCAGCCUCACUGGGACUGAGACACGGCCCAGACUCCUACGGGAGGCAGCAGUGGGGAAUAUUGGACAAUGGGCGCAAGCCUGAUCCAGCCAUGCCGCGUGGAUGAUGAAGGCCUUAGGGUUGUAAAGUCCUUUUAACGGGAAGAUAAUGACGGUACCCGUAGAAUAAGCCCCGGCUAACUUCG
rnacentral:rRNA from 1 species